rnacentral:rRNA from 1 species
AUGGGUUGUGCCCUCUUCAUCGCCGUGCUUCUCCUGGUCACCGUCGCGGUGGCGCCCUUGGCACAGGCGCGCAACAUCGUCAUAGAGGACAAGAAGGCCGAGAAGAAGGCCGAAGCGCCGGCGCCCUCCGCCAGCGCGCCCGCCGACGCGCCCGCCGCUGACUCCCCAGCCUCCGAGCCCUCCGCUGCGGAUGCACCGGAGCCCAGCAGCUCCAGCACCUCCGACUGA